AAGGGCUAUAGCUCAGUUCGGUAGAGCAACUCGCUUACAUACCGAGAAGGUCUACGGUUCGAAUCCGUAUAGCCCU
rnacentral:tRNA from 1 species